rnacentral:rRNA from 1 species
GACGAACGCUGGCGGCGUGCCUAAUACAUGCAAGUCGAGCGGACUGAUGGGAGCUUGCUCCCUGAUGUCAGCGGCGGACGGGUGAGUAACACGUGGGCAACCUGCCUGUAAGACUGGGAUAACUUCGGGAAACCGGAGCUAAUACCGGAUAACUUCAAGCACCUCCUGGUGCUUGGAUAAAAGACGGUUUCGGCUGUCACUUACAGAUGGGCCCGCGGCGCAUUAGCUAGUUGGUGAGGUAACGGCUCACCAAGGCGACGAUGCGUAGCCGACCUGAGAGGGUGAUCGGCCACACUGGGACUGAGACACGGCCCAGACUCCUACGGGAGGCAGCAGUAGGGAAUCUUCCGCAAUGGACGAAAGUCUGACGGAGCAACGCCGCGUGAGCGAUGAAGGCCUUCGGGUCGUAAAGCUCUGUUGUUAGGGAAGAACAAGUACCGGAGUAACUGCCGGUGCCUUGACGGUACCUAACCAGAAAGCCACGGCUAACUACGUGCCAGCCGCCGCCGUAAAAC